rnacentral:lncRNA from 1 species
AAGAGUUUUAGUGACCACAUUUUUCUUCACUAAUAUAAAAAUGUAAUAAAUAUAAUAAAAAUUGAAGUUACAUGAAUAGUAAUAGUUAGUUUCAUGCUUUCAUACACGCUCAACAACAAUGAAAAUAAACCAAAUACUUGAUAUCUUGUUUAUACAAAGAACUAAAGUAUCAUAUUUACCAGAAACCAAUCCAAAUUGUAGAAACCCAUCUUACUAAAACAAUGAAAAGUAUAAAUAAUGCAAACCAUCUAGGAGACAACUGGAAGCAUAAAGUGAGAUGAGUUAAUCAUCAUUUUUAAUAAUUCCUAAAAAGAAAAAAAAAAAGAAAAAUUGCAGCAUAUAUAUGUACAUAAGACAGUGUCUUUAAACCAUUACUGACGAACCAAAAACCUCUUGUACUAUAACUUGCUCUAUACUUUCUUCAAGGAUAGGUUCUUCGGGCUUCAAAUUUUUGAUCUGUUAAAAUAACAAAUUUAUGCCAGUUUAAUAACAAAGAAUAAACAACUCAAGAAGAAAAUGAACACGUUAAAGGGAAAAUGAACAGAUAACACCUUAAAUUAUCGAAUGAAUAGAUUGAUAACCAUAUUCACGAGAAGUAAGUUGACCAGCCAAAGAAGUGAUAAGUUCAAUUAAAUUCUAGCCAAGUACCAGACUAACUAGCUUAUUGGAGAUGUAAUUUUACCUUUGCUUUUUUUGGUUAUGUGAGGCAGGAGUCCUUGGGGAUAACCGAUUAAAAAAAAAACUGAGGCACAAGUCAAUGGUAGUCUAGAUUUGCAACUAUUGCAGCAUCUGACAUAGCCUCCUAUGUUACUACAAUUCCAAAUUCCACAUCUAACCGAAUGAAUCCCUCUUAGCUACUAGGACUGCAGUCUCUAUCUACAUUCACCUAUGUUUCUAUCAAUAGACAUCAUGAAUAUCAGAAUGACAAUAAAUUUAAAAAGGACAUUAUAAAAAGUACUAGACAAAAAAGAUAUAUGUUAACUACCAGGAAGAAUAAAUAAUCACUUCUUAGUCCCCAAAUGAUUAUGCGAUUUCCUUGGUUAACAUUAUUUGCCACCAUGAGACUGAGUAUCUGGCAUCUCUUCAGGUUGUUACGUUGUUCCUACAUCAUCCCCCACCUUUUCUACCACAUAAUCUGACACUCCUCAUGUCCCCCCUCUUCUACCACUUUUCUAUUAAGUCACCAUUGCUGUUAUUUUGUCCCAAGUUACUGAUAGCCCUUUUACUGGCAGGCAUCUUACUUGAAAUUGCAUGACACCACUUUCAAGGUACUCCCUUCAACUUCAAAACCUCUAACAUGUUCAAAUAGUUUGCAUGAAAAAGACGCAUGAGGGCUUAUCGCUACGAUCUCCCAACAGUCACGUAUCCUCACUAUGUCUUAGCUGGGAAGUAGCAUUCAAACAAAAUUAAGUAUUCGGCAGGUCGUAACCGCAGAAAAAAGAGGAGUUAUUGACUUGAAAACUUUAUCUAAAGAAAUACUAAGUGGGAUGUACAGUAUAAAAUGAGGCCUGUGUGAAACUAGUCACAUGUAUUAAGCAACAAAAAUCAGAAGGAAUACUCAAUUUCUGUAUGUAUUUGUUAGGGGUUACAUCUCUCUUGUAGCUUGGAUAGAGUCUACUUAAUCGAUGAAGUGGGAGAUGUAACAAAUAUAAGUUAUAAUUGUAUUCCUUGAAGUAUUACCCUACCCACAUAAAGAAUAGAAAAACUCUUUCGGGGCGAUUCAUGGAUGAUGAGCAUAUAGCACUAACCCAUAUCCAAUGUAUGUAGUCUACAAAAUCAGCUUAUAACAACAGAGUAAGCUACUCAUCAGGUGUCCCCGUACUUUAAAAUCAGCUUAAUAGAAAGGAUUGACUCGCCGCUAUUACCAUGGAGCAAGGAGGAAGAACUACAAGUGUAGGAACAGAGCUACACAAAACUAGGCAAAGAGCUAUGUCGUAUGACACAAGGCAAUCUCUAGAAUAUAUAGGAGAUCACAUCCAUGUAAGUAUGUAAAAUUAAAAUCAUCAGUAUUACUUUCGGCAGAUUAAAGAAAAAACAGAUUCCAAACUGAAAACAAAAAGGAACAUUAUUUCUUUAUUCUUUUCUAACUAAAACACCCAGACCACAGAUCAAUUGUUUGAACCCCAUGUGCCCUUUUCCUCCUUAAACUUAACAGUUACCUCCCACUCUCUGACCCCCCUGCCCCCCCCCUUCCCCCCCCCCCCCCCAAGUAUCCUUCUGUCAAGCUAAACCAGCGUGUUGAACUGUUGCAUAAUGAGAAUCAACAACUUGCGAAAGAUAGUGGGAAGAGUAUGCAACAGGAGGAUGGUAACGCAAUGUCAAGAACUGGGCAAUUAAAACCUACAGGCACUGAUACAAAUCAGAAUUUUUGAGAGAGUUUAGGAGUUCGACCAACAAUCUCAAAGGACAUUGUUCCUGUUGAGGAUGUCAAACCUGUGGCAGACCAUGUAGCUACUGAAACCACGCCAACAUUACAUGUUUCCAAUCCAAAAAUAGCUAAAAUUAUAAAGAAAACACAACAUGCCAUGAUGUUGAACAACAAUCCAAUGACCAGGCCAAUCAUGAUCACUUUAAACACAUCGGCACAAGAGAUUCCUUCACAGUUAAUGGAGUCAUUUGGGGAACAAGAAGGUGAUUCGGGGCAGCAACUUUACAGGGAAUAACCAACAAUUGGAGAAAGGUAUGGCCUCAAUAUCUCAAGCAAAUUCUACAAAUAAGGUACUGGUUUCUAAGGAGCAAUUAGCUGUUACAAGUGAAUUCUAGUGCAAUCAUAAGACUUGGGCCUAUCAAGUAGAAGAGAAUGAAUAAGAUGAGAUGAAAAACGACAACUCACACUGCAUGUUAUAGAAACUUCCACCAGUACAUAAAAUCAGACAACUCACAACUUAAAUAUUCAAUUUCUCAAGCAAUAUUUCUAAGAAAAUGGAAAUUGAGAAUUUCUUGAAGGAAGAACAGUUUAACCUCUGAUGCCCCUCAAAAAUGCAGUGAAGUUCUAUAAUUUCAACAUAGAUUUAGGAUCCUGGUAUCUUUGUUAUUGACUUAUCUAAGUAUAUCAGAAUAGCAGGGAUGCCAAAAAGAAUCUUGAUGCUAGAAAGCUUCUGUAAUAAUGCUUUUACAGAUGACUUCAAUGUUUCCUUGGACUUUACAAUGACAACCCCACAUAAUAUCCUCUAGGCUAAAAGACAUGAUUUCCCUAUCAGAUUAAUAAUCAAGCCAUUCAAACCAGAGAAUUAUUUUCACAAGGCAGUAGGUGUUGUUAGAAUUAUUAAUAGCUUGCCUAUUUUUGGAGGUGAAAUAUUGGUUUUUUGGUAUCUUUUGCAAUAUGCUUCUUUGUGCAAGUACAACUAUUGUAAAGGAUUAGCUGAAGUUAGUGUUUGAUUUCACUUAUCUUGCCUGCUUCUCAUUUACCUAUACUACUUGCUCCUUCUCAAAGUUAUGGUUGUAGUUUUAUUCUUCAGAGAGUUCAAGAGUUCAUCAGGUAGUAUUAGUUUGACCAGGUAGAGAAGUCAAUAUGAGAAUUGCUUUAUAACUUUAGAACAUCCUAAAGUAGCAGUACGACAUUAAGUUUAGGUAGGAGUAUUACUUAAUAGAAUGAUGUGACAGGAGAAGGAUUGCCUUAGAGGGGAUCUUUUUUGUGUGGAUGAAAGUGGAGGCCACUAGGACUUUUAGUCGGGUACUAUCACUAAAACAAUGAAUAUUCAUGAAAGAGAUUUCCUUUCAGAUAGAUUACCAUCAUUUUUGGGAAAGUUGAUGCCUUAGUUUUGUGGAGGGAUCCCAGGAACAUAGUUUCAACAAAGAAAGAAGAGGAAAGUCAAAGGCAACAUAUCGUAAUUGAUAAGAUGUUGAAUAAUUACAACAUUUUAUCUAGCUCUGUUUAUGAGUUAUCUAAUCCUAAAUAAAAGCUGGUACACUUCUAGUUUUAUGCUGUUCUCUACUCUCUGUGGCAUGAACAUAAACAUCAAGGAGCACAGUCUAUCUGUAGGAGCAUAAUGACCUGGCAACAUAUAGAAAAUCUUUUAUAUCUUGUGUCUCUACCAACCAAACUACACAGGCAUAUACGAAUGCACGUAGCACAUUUUGCAGAAAUCAUAAAUUACAAAUUAGCACUUAACCAAAAGGCGUCAAAGUCUAGAUUACUUUUAAAAGUCAUGAGAGAUAAACUAAGUGUAUUUCCCAAAAGGAGCCUGGAUGAAUAAGAACAGAUAGAUAGUCUUCUAGUAUAUUGCAAUUACAAAGCAAUAUUUCCAACUGAAAUGAGGCAGCAGGGCUUUAGGAUUAGGGAACCUAUGCUAGUGCCAUUGAAGGCACUACGCAUACCCAGAAUGCCAGCCAAACUUUCUUAUUAAGGAAAAUGUUUCUCACAUAAGCCAAAAAAUAAUUCCAUCACAGUAAGUUCAUUUAUUGAAAAUAAGCAGGACCAGACAUUUCUUUUUAAAAAUAUAUUUAUCUCAAUGGUGAUGGAAGAUUCUUAACCAACAUAAGUACAUUAAACACGAAACACUAACUAAAUAUAAAAUGGAACACAAGAAAGAUUAAGAAAACAAGAGCAAUUGCAUGAGACUUAUUAAGAUAGAUCUUUGAGAAGAAAAGGAACUCUUGAAGGAGACUAAAUGCUAUUAUAGAAGGCCUGCAGUUCUAAUUCUAGUAAAAAUACAUCACAGUUAAUCAAAACAAAUGCUACACCUAAGUUGGUCAACCUCCGAAAGCUGCUACACCUAAGUUGGCUCCUAUACAGGGAGCUAGUACAGUGCAACAAAAUGAUGCUCAUGGCCAACAAAGCCACUUCGAGGGGCAUGUUCAAAGUCAAGAGAAUUAGGAUGGUAUAUGUUAAAAUGUUCUAGAUACAUUUUCCGUGUUUAGAUUAAGAGUGUGUGUAUGUAUAUAUAUAUAUAUAUAUAUGUAGGCUUGGAAUUUAAGUAUUUCUCCAUUUAAUAACUUUUUUUAUUUAGGAAUCUUACCUUAGUCCAAGCUUCCCUUAUAUUAAAGUCUAAUGAAAUAUUUCCUUGCCUAAACUCCAAUAUGGGACGACGCCCUUAUUUCAUUCACGACCAAUUCAACAGAAGUUCAAGUUCUUUUAUGUUUUCUAUCUUAGAGUAGUGUCUAUCAGAAAUUCAAUCCAUGAUCAUUAAAAAUUGAACUUCUUCCAAAUAUGCUAGGUCUACAUCUUUUCGCUUAAAUUGGAAUAGUGGUUGCAGUCCAGCAUUAACUUUAUGUACAACAUUUUAUACCUGUCAGUACUGCAUAUCCAUUAAUAGCUUUCCAAUAAAUUUGUAGCCAAAGUUAAAUCGAUUCCCCUAAUAUACAAUAAAUGAAACCUAUAACAGCCUUUGGAUUUGUCAGCAUGAACAUAGUUGAACACAGAUCUGAAGCUAUUUUUUUUAAAUAAGGAUAAGGAGGAAGCUAUUAAUAGCCAAAGUGUGUACUCAACAAGGCCAACAAAUGACACAGAUGUCCCAACAAUCACAAGUAACACAACAGGUAUCACACAAGGUGUUUCAAUAGGGCAACAACAAGGAUCUGCUAUGCGACUAAUUGAACUCAAAUUCAGAAAACGUAGUACAUAACUGAUAUUCAAAACAACAGUCUGCUCAACUGACACCCAGCCCCCACAUCUCCAGCCCCCCUACUUACAACUCAAUAUCAAAUCCAUUCUUGGAUUCUACUGCUCCUGUUUUUACCCUUUUUCUUGCAAUUACUGUCGAGUAUUCCAGCUAACGAACUUUUACUUCUUUUUUCUGAUAAAUUAAAUUUAAAAUAUCAAUAUUCAGUUGAACACAAUUAUUUGUGAAUUAAAAACAGAAUUCUAACAUGUUUCAUGAAUUCUUAAUGAAAAAAGUUACAGAUUUAGAGAGAUCCAAGCAAAGAACAACCAUCGUUAUAUAUAUUCUGGAAAAACAAUAACUAGAACAACAACUAAAGUAUAUAUUCUGGAAAAACAACAACUAUGAAAUGAAUUAGUCCAUCGUUAUAAUAAAAUAAAAAUAAAAAGAAGCUAAAGUAUAUUGUACAGUACCAACGCCAAAUUUUUGUUCAUUUUUGGGAGUCACGUCCGAACCCCCAAAACACCAACCAAGCUCAAGCAUGAUCCAUGACCGAAGAUCAACAGGUCAAAAACUAAAAUAUAUAUUUUUGUUUUAUAUCUAUGUAUAAAACUUAACUCCAAAAGCGGAGGAGUAAUAGUCGAAAAUCAGAGAAGAAAACUUAAAUCUUUGUAUAUCUCUUCCUGUAAUCUUUUUUCUGGAAUUUGAAACGCGAACAGAAAAUCGAAGAAGAAUACCUAAAAGCAGAGAAGAAAAUUUGCCCUUAAAACCCUAGCUUUUCACUCACUUUUUCUGUUCAAAUCUUAAUAAUUGAAUUUGAACAACGAGAAACAGUUUUGGAGAAGCAGAAAAAAAUAGUUUAUCUCUGAAACCAAUUUUUUGAGAAGCACUUUUGAGAAAAAUACACUUAGAAAUAGUUUUUUAAAGCUUGGUCAAACAUUAAUUGCUGCUCAGAAAUGCUUUUCAAACUAAUUAGCCUAACACAAACUGCUUUUCGCCAAAAUAACUUUUGAGAAAUGCACUUUUGAAAAAAAGUAUUUCUCAAAAUAAGCUGAUUUUUGCAGCUUGGCCAAACAGGUAUUAGAACUGGGGUUUCAUCUAAACUAAAAUUACCAUAAAAGGGUACAAUUUCAAAACUUACCUUGAUGAGAAGAAACGUGAGCAGUUGUUGUCAAUGGAGGUGACCGGCAAUUUCUCUAAUACGAUGAGAUUGACGUCUGAACACCAGUAAUUUCGCUGAAUUUUACUUGCCCUUCUAAGAGAAAUAGCAGUUUCACCUGAAUUUCACUUGCCCUUCUAGGAGAAAUAGCAGUUUCAGUUUCACGUUUUGCCCUUCUAGGAGAAAUAUGUGUUCUGUUGGAGAAGUCUGAGGAUUUUUUCCUUCUUUUUUGGAGGGAGAUUGGCGGAUUGGGCAGGAAACAAAGUGGGAAAUGUUUAGCGCCAAUUUUACCUGUAUAUAUCUAUAUCUAUAUUUAUAUACUUUUAUAUUCUUUUAUAAUAAUAAAAGGACCCUAACUUAAAAGUUAAAUUUCUAAAAUACCCUCCUUACUUUCACCCAAACACCCAGCUUUAAAAAAACGUUGAUGCCAAAAAGUUGGUGUCCCUUCAAAUUACCCCUAACUAAUCUU